rnacentral:rRNA from 1 species
AUUGAACGCUGGCGGCAGGCCUAACACAUGCAAGUCGAGCGGUAGAGAGAAGCUUGCUUCUCUUGAGAGCGGCGGACGGGUGAGUAAUGCCUAGGAAUCUGCCUGGUAGUGGGGGAUAACGUUCGGAAACGGACGCUAAUACCGCAUACGUCCUACGGGAGAAAGCAGGGGACCUUCGGGCCUUGCGCUAUCAGAUGAGCCUAGGUCGGAUUAGCUAGUUGGUAAGGUAAUGGCUCACCAAGGCGACAAUCCGUAACUGGUCUGAGAGGAUGAUCAGUCACACUGGAACUGAGACACGGUCCAGACUCCUACGGGAGGCAGCAGUGGGGAAUAUUGGAAAAUGGGCGAAAGCCUGAUCCAGCCAUGCCGCGUGUGUGAAGAAGGUCUUCGGAUUGUAAAGCACUUUAAGUUGGGAGGAAGGGUUGUAGAUUAAUACUCUGCAAUUUUGACGUUACCGACAGAAUAAGCACCGGCUAACUCUGUGCCAGCCGCCGCCGUAA